rnacentral:rRNA from 1 species
UGAGGAAUAUUGGUCAAUGGACGAGAGUCUGAACCAGCCAAGUAGCGUGCAGGAUGACGGCCCUAUGGGUUGUCAACUGCUUUUGUUUGGGAAUAAUCGACAUUACGUGUAAUGUUUUGCAUGUACCAUUCGAAUAAGGACCGGCUAAUUCCGUGCCAGCAGCCGCGGUAAUACGGAAGGUCCAGGCGUUAUCCGGAUUUAUUGGGUUUAAAGGGAGUGUAGGCGGUUGGUUAAGCGUGUUGUGAAAUGUAGAUGCUCAACAUCUGACUUGCAGCGCGAACUGGCUGACUUGAGUACACACAAAGUAGGCGGAAUUCAUGGUGUAGCGGUGAAAUGCUUAGAUAUCAUGAAGAACUCCGAUUGCGAAGGCAGCUUACGGGAGUGUUACUGACGCUUAAGCUCGAAGGUGCGGGUAUCGAACAGG